rnacentral:rRNA from 1 species
UGUAAGCCUGUGAAGGUGGCCUGUGAGGGUUGCUGGAGGUAUCAGAAGUGCGAAUGCUGACAUAAGUAACGAUAAAGCGGGUGAAAAGCCCGCUCGCCGGAAGACCAAGGGUUCCUGUCCAACGUUAAUCGGGGCAGGGUGAGUCGACCCCUAAGGCGAGGCCGAAAGGCGUAGUCGAUGGGAAACAGGUUAAUAUUCCUGUACUUGGUGUUACUGCGAAGGGGGGACGGAGAAGGCUAUGUUGGCCGGGCGACGGUUGUCCCGGUUUAAGCGUGUAGGCUGGUUUUCCAGGCAAAUCCGGAAAACCAAGGCUGAGGCGUGAUGACGAGGCACUACGGUGCUGAAGCGACAAAUGCCCUGCUUCCAGGAAAAGCCUCUAAGCAUCAGGUAACAUCAAAUCGUACCCCAAACCGACACAGGUGGUCAGGUAGAGAAUACCAAGGCGCUUGAGAGAACUCGGGUGAAGGAACUAGGCAAAAUGGUGCCGUAACUUCGGGAGAAGGCACGCUGAUAUGUAGGUGAAGCGACUUGCUCGUGGAGCUGAAAUCAGUCGAAGAUACCAGCUGGCUGCAACUGUUUAUUAAAAACACAGCACUGUGCAAACACGAAAGUGGACGUAUACGGUGUGACGCCUGCCCGGUGCCGGAAGGUUAAUUGAUGGGGUUAGCGGUAACGCGAAGCUCUUGAUCGAAGCCCCGGUAAACGGCGGCCGUAACUAUAACGGUCCUAAGGUAGCGAAAUUCCUUGUCGGGUAAGUUCCGACCUGCACGAAUGGCGUAAUGAUGGCCAGGCUGUCUCCACCCGAGACUCAGUGAAAUUGAACUCGCUGUGAAGAUGCAGUGUACCCGCGGCAAGACGGAAAGACCCCGUGAACCUUUACUAUAGCUUGACACUGAACAUUGAGCCUUGAUGUGUAGGAUAGGUGGGAGGCUUUGAAGUGUGGACGCCAGUCUGCAUGGAGCCGACCUUGAAAUACCACCCUUUAAUGUUUGAUGUUCUAACGUUGGCCCGUAAUCCGGGUUGCGGACAGUGUCUGGUGGGUAGUUUGACUGGGGCGGUCUCCUCCUAAAGAGUAACGGAGGAGCACGAAGGUUGGCUAAUCCUGGUCGGACAUCAGGAGGUUAGUGCAAUGGCAUAAGCCAGCUUGACUGCGAGCGUGACGGCGCGAGCAGGUGCGAAAGCAGGUCAUAGUGAUCCGGUGGUUCUGAAUGGAAGGGCCAUCGCUCAACGGAUAAAAGGUACUCCGGGGAUAACAGGCUGAUACCGCCCAAGAGUUCAUAUCGACGGCGGUGUUUGGCACCUCGAUGUCGGCUCAUCACAUCCUGGGGCUGAAGUAGGUCCCAAGGGUAUGGCUGUUCGCCAUUUAAAGUGGUACGCGAGCUGGGUUUAGAACGUCGUGAGACAGUUCGGUCCCUAUCUGCCGUGGGCGCUGGAGAACUGAGGGGGGCUGCUCCUAGUACGAGAGGACCGGAGUGGACGCAUCACUGGUGUUCGGGUUGUCAUGCCAAUGGCACUGCCCGGUAGCUAAAUGCGGAAGAGAUAAGUGCUGAAAGCAUCUAAGCACGAAACUUGCCCCGAGAUGAGUUCUCCCUGACUCC